ACCAUGCUUUUUACAACGCGCUGAAUUGUUACUUAGCUGUCAAAUAAAAAUGCAGUUACGUGGGGUUUAAAGCCUGAUGUCUCAAAACCGUACCGUCUGCAGGUAGAACCUUAAAAUAUCCUGCACUGGCAUACAGAACCACGCGAAUGUUCAGAAUAACGUGUUUUAGGCCUAGACUUUCGGAAAAGGGAAAAUAAAACAAACUGUAAACUCUACAUAAUGAAAACCCGCUUUGGAUAUCAUCAAUUUCAUUACCACAUUUUAUUUAUGCCUGUGCUACAGAAUGCUAUAAAGGCCACUUCCCCCGUUACAGGACUAUCAGUCUUCCCUGUGGUAGCAUGUCAUCCCUUCUGGUGGACCAGAUAAAGAACUGGACAACAGAUGAUUGCCCUGGGAAGAGUCAAAAGUGCCUUUAUGCAUCAGUGACGAUGACAUAAUAGCUACGCACACGACUUCCAUCCUGCGGUUUGUUGAUGACAUCAAGUUUGCCUUCCACCCUGAGAAGCCCAACAGCUGCGUGGUUCUGGAAUCAGCAAAGGACUGAAGCACUUGCAGCUGCGUGGGAAUUAUUUGGCAUGCUUUCAGCCAGUUGGCUGUGACUGAGAAGAGGCAAGUUUGAUGCGUGGACUUGGGUCGCACACAACUGAGGAGGCUCCUCAGCAUCAUUGCUGUUUUCCCAUCGGCAGCCAACCCUAAACGUCCACUUAACUCAUUUUCAGAUCAGGCGACAGUAAAAUGGCUGGAGUGGACUCUGACUUGAUCAUAGCUUCUGACUAUUCCUUGAACAGAAUGGAUGGUUUAGACAAGUUGCUAUGCUGUAAUAUCUUUACACUGGAGUUCAUCCAACUAACGCAACAGAGUGUAAAUACAACUGUAUAUUAAAAGAAACAGUAAUGGCCUAUUCAAAGGCACUGAGGGAAAUGCAAUGUGAAAAUUAAGCAAGGAAAAGGGCAUUUAUAUUCAGUAAAUAAACCUCACUGAGUACUAUGCUUGUGUUUACUACUAAACACUGUCCUUGGGGUUCAUUUAUAAACAUGUAUUUACACAUUGCUUCAAAUGUCAGAACAAUUAGGCAAUAUGUACGUUUUUCUGGGAACUGGCCCAAACCCCACAUAAGGUCAUUAAUAACAUUACACAUACAUUCAAAAAAGAGGAAUAGGAUGGUAUAUACUUAAUAUUGUCAGUCAUUUUGGCUAAACAGUCUCUAUUGUUAUUGGUCAAUUUAACAGUCCAGAUUUAGGGAAAUGCAGCUAUAUAUUUAAUAUAUAUGUAAUGAAGGGGGACUAGGGGGAUUCUGUGUUAGCUUGGUGGAGGAGUGAUGGGGAAAGAACUAAGAGAAGUGAGCUGAGGGGUGUAUGACUGUGUUACUGUGGACUUUCAGUUUCUUUGGAUUUUCCUGACUGAGAGUAAAAGAGUGUUAUUCAGUGAAAGAAAAUAAGAGAACUGUAAGGAAUUACAGCAUUCUGCCCCAGAAUGUAUAUUCCACCAGGCAUGAUCUAAUGAAUAGCUGCAGCAUCCCAAAGGGCUUGAGAUGAUAGAGACCCCAACUGGAUGGCCCACACCUCUGCCAACACCUUAACAAUUUGGUCAAACAAGGUGGCAAACGAGUGGGACCAGGAGUGGGCAAUCAAGAACUAUCUCAGACGAAGGGGUAUCGAGGCUUAUUCAAACAAUGGUAUCCUGGUUUACUCAAAUCCGACACUGUGACUUCAUUAUCAUACAGGCAACAGGUUUGGCUCAUUUACAUUAAGAACAACCUAAACUGUAUAUAUGAGAAUUAGUCUGAAUGUUGAGGUUCACUCCAACACCGCUGAACCCGAAGUCUGUGUUUUUCAUGUGCUUCGAUACUGUUUUAUACUGGAUGAAAGACUUUCAUUUCAACACGCAUUCGUCUUCUCCAUCCUUGUUUUUUUCUUACAGAAAGUAGAAGAACUAUUUCAGGGAUGGAGAAACAGAAAGAGAAUUCCACAUUUUCAGGUCUUGGAUUUUUGAAUUUUGGGGUGGGGUGGAUGUCUAAAAUUAGACAGAAGGAAAGAUUCUCCCUUAUUACACGACCCUGUUUACUCAUAAAGAGAGAGGUGUUACAUUUACAUUUACAUUUACAUUUACAUUUACAUUUACAUUUAUUUAUUUAGCAGACGCUUUUAGACAGGAGGGAAGGCUGACUUCAUGUUCAUGCUUCAGAAUGUCUGGGCAAUCCUGAGCAGCUCCUGACAUGCUAUAAAGACAAGGCUAUAUCCUUGCCAGAGAGAGUGACUGAGAGGGAGAAUGUUUGAAAAAGAGAACAAGGAGAAGGGGGAUAGAGUGUGUUUUAAAAGGUAGCACGAAUGAGUUGGAGACAAAGCUACCAUGAGAGAUAGACACACACACACACACAAAGAUAGAGAGGGAGGUAGCUGGAUGUUACGUGUGGCACACUGUGCAUUUGUGGGGUCUGGGCCGCCUGCGUCUUGUUGUCUUCUCUCCUCUCUCGCUAAUCUCCUGACGCAGGUAUCCUGCUGCAAAGCGACGUUGUUGAUUUCCAUCCGGCCCAGCGUUGCGUCCCGCCUCCUCGUUCUGGCCCGGGGCCAACCAGAGGCAGAGCACCCCAAUUUAAAGA